AUGACGGAAGCAGAAGUUGGAAUGAUGCAGCCAGGAGCCAAGGAAAGCUGUCGCCUCUAGAAGCUGCAAAAGUCAAGGACUGGAUCCAUCAGAAGGAGCCAGCCUCGCGGAGACCCUCACCUAAACCCAGUGGAAGGGAUUUGGAACUUCUGGCCUCCAGAACUAUAGGAGAAUAAAUGUACAUGUAUUCUUUGAGCCACUAAAUCAGAGGGGCCAGUUCGGCAUGAACUUCCAGUUUGUUUAACGUGGAGCAAGACGCGUUAGACAGUUGUGAAGCAAUCGGAUUGCAAAACCCUGUCUCAUUUUCCUGUUUUUACUCAGAAUAUUUCACAGUUCUCUCACUCAUUCCUAAUUUGACCGCGUUAAAAAAAAAAAAAAUGACGUGUUUUUAUCGAGUCUUUCCAAAGCAUUCCAUUUAGUUUUUGUAGAAAUAACAGUUCUCUUUUUGCUUA